UUUUCUCUUCUCCUUCCUCUUUUUAUUCAUUUAUUUUUAGAAGGAGUAUGUAUUGACAUGUAUUGACAUCCUUCUAUUUUUUUCUUUCAUUUUUUUUUUCUAUUUUCUUUUUCUAUUUUUCUUUUCUUUUUCUGCCAACUUCUGAAAUAUUACAAACAUACUUAUUCAACUCCACACAACUCCAAACAAGACUCUUUCAACCCUUUG
rnacentral:lncRNA from 1 species